rnacentral:tRNA from 1 species
GCCUGGGUGGCUUGGUCGGUUAAGCGUCCGACUUCGGCUCAGGUCAUGAUCUCACGGUCCGUGGGUUCAAGCCCCGCCUCAGGCU